rnacentral:ncRNA from 1 species
AAAAAAGCAUUGAUUAGGAGUAGUACUUUUUACUUGAUAGCAUAGAGAGUCAGUGGUUGGUGGAAACUGAUGUAUGAGUAACUAGAAAUCAACCUAGGAGUGGAAUGAAGAACACAAUGAUUAGUAUUCAUUCACGGUCUAACCGUUAUCUUUGUAAGUGGUCUCACUUAAAUGUUCCACGUGGAACGCUUAGUGAACAACUAGGGUGGCAACGCGGGUUAAAUCUCGUCCCUAAA